GUGAAAGGCUGUAAUAAUUUAGUUAUUCAUAACUUACUCUGUUUAAUGUGUAUCUCUCCUUAAAAUAAUUUGCAUAAUUGAAGAUCAUACAAUUAGUAGUAAGAAAUCAAUAGAUUACUAAGGGAAUAACAGUACUUAAUGAAUGAAUAAUUUCUUCCAAUGAGAAUAUACUUAUGAUAUAAUACUUUUGCUAUAACUCUGUUUUUUGUUUGAGUUUUUAUGCAUCUGUAGGUCGGAAAGUCUGAUCAUAUAUCCAGUACUGAGGAAGCCAGGUACAAAUGAAAGAAGAUACUUCAUGAUUGCUGAACAACAAUGCUCACCCUCAGUAUUUAGAGGAUACAAGUUCUUCAAGUCAAGUUUUCCUCUGUGCAGCUGUCUUCAUCUGGCCAUGUCUGACAACUUGACUUUGUUACUUCAUAGUAGAAGGUGUCUGAGACUGUUUUUUGAUAUCAUCUUGACAUAGGAGUUGGUUGGUUAAAGGACAAGCAUCGCCCAGACAUUGAUGGAGCCAGAGGGCCUAUCCUGGACAUCAUGUGCAGAGAAGAUGGAUCCCGGGAGCUGCUGGAGCCAGUAGGACCAGCCAUACAGAGGAGAUGGAUGCAGGCAGCUGAUGGAGCCAGGAGGACCAGCCAUGAAGUGGAGAUAGAUGCAGGCACCUGAUGGAGCCAGGAGGACCAGUCAUGAAAUGGAGAUGGAUGCAGUCAGCUGAUGGAGCCAUGAGGACCAGUGAUGCAGAGAAGAUUGAUCCAAGGAACCAAUGGAAUCUGGAGGACCAGACAGGCCUAUGUGUCAGGGAGGCAGAUACAUAGAACAGUUCAGUUAAGAAGUAUCCCAGACAGACUCCCUCUAUUGACCUAGAUCUCCAACAUGUCCUCCCACCUGUGGAUGAGAUUCAUUACACUAAGGAAGUCAGUGGUCCUGUCUUACCUUAAUAUUGUAGUUUAUUUUCUCCUGGAUUUUAGAGCUAGGGAUUUAUUAUGUUCUCAUCUGAGAAAAGCCAAACAAUAAUCUAGUUGUUGUCUAAUUG
rnacentral:lncRNA from 1 species